UACGGAGGAUCCGAGCGUUAUCCGGAUUUAUUGGGUUUAAAGGGAGCGUAGGCGGGAAGUCAAGUCAGCUGUGAAAUGUAGGUGCUCAGCGCCUGCACUGCAGUUGAAACUGGUUUUCUUGAGUGCGUAAGGGGCAGGCGGAAUUCGUCGUGUAGCGGUGAAAUGCUUAGAUAUGAUGAAGAACUCCGAUCGCGAAGGCAGGUUGCCGGGCCGCAACUGACGCUGAAGCUCGAGGGUGCGGGUAUCGAAC
rnacentral:rRNA from 1 species